rnacentral:rRNA from 1 species
UACGAAGGGGGCUAGCGUUGCUCGGAAUCACUGGGCGUAAAGCGCACGUAGGCGGCUUUCUAAGUCAGGGGUGAAAUCCUAGAGCUCAACUCCAGAACUGCCUUUGAUACUGGAGGGCUUGAGUCCGGAAGAGGUGAGUGGAACUCCGAGUGUAGAGGUGAAAUUCGUAGAUAUUCGGAAGAACACCAGUGGCGAAGGCGGCUCACUGGUCCGGUACUGACGCUGAGGCGCGAAAGCGUGGGGAGCGAACAGG